AUUGAACGCUGGCGGCAUGCCUUACACAUGCAAGUCGAACGGCAGCACGGGGCAACCUGGUGGCGAGUGGCGAACGGGUGAGUAAUGCAUCGGAACGUGCCAUUGAGUGGGGGAUAACGUAGCGAAAGUUGCGCUAAUACCGCAUAUUCUGUGAGCAGGAAAGCAGGGGACCGCAAGGCCUUGCGCUCUUUGAGCGGCCGAUGUCAGAUUAGCUAGUUGGUGAGGUAAAGGCUCACCAAGGCGACGAUCUGUAGCGGGUCUGAGAGGAUGAUCCGCCACACUGGAACUGAGACACGGUCCAGACUCCUACGGGAGGCAGCAGUGGGGAAUUUUGGACAAUGGGGGGCAACCCUGAUCCAGCCAUGCCGCGUGAGUGAAGAAGGCCUCGG
rnacentral:rRNA from 1 species